CCUACGGUGUGCAGCAGUCGAGAAUCAUUCACCAUGGGGGAAACCCUGAUGGUGCGACGCCGCGUGGGGGAAUGAAGGUCUUCGGAUUGUAAACCCCUGUCAUGUGGGAGCAAAUUAAAAAGAUAGUACCACAAGAGGAAGAGACGGAUAACCCGGUGCCAGCAGCCGCGGUAAUAAAGAGGUUGCAAGCGUUGUUCGGAAUCACUGGGCGUAAAGCGUGCGGAGGCUGUUUCGUAAGUCGUGUGUGAAAGGCGCGUGGUCAACCCGCGGACGGCACAUGAUACUGCGAGACUAGAGUAAUGGAGGGGGAACCGGAUUUCGCGGUGGAGCAGUGAAAUGCGUAGAUAUC
rnacentral:rRNA from 1 species